rnacentral:lncRNA from 1 species
GCAAGCCUGCACUGAGGUUCCACUUUGGACUCACUUCCCUGGACGCUCAGUUGCGGCCCUGCCGUGGUCUUGCCUCACUCCCCCUUCAUCCCUGUCCUGGGGUUCUUCUGGUCCCUGGUUCUGCCGAUGGUAUGCCCCCAUGUCCAGGCACGGUCCGCGAGCCCAGCUCCCGCUGAGCUAAGGCUGCUCUACGCUGGGGCCCACGUGGGGCACUAACCCUGGCCUGCCCACCACUCUGGCCCUCCCCGCAUAUACUCCAGCUCCUGGAACCACUCUGCUCUCCUCUGCUCUCCCUGCUUUGCCCUGCCGGAGCAUCAGGAGUUCACAGCCCCCUCCUCGGGCUCGCGGGACCUGGAAUUUAAGAUCUGCCACCGACCAGGAGCCCUGGCUCGGGGAACACACGUCCCCAACGGCCACCAGCACAGC